AUUGAACGCUGGCGGCAGGCCUAACACAUGCAAGUCGAACGAGUGGCGGACGGGUGAGUAAUGUCUGGGAAACUGCCCGAUGGAGGGGGAUAACUACUGGAAACGGUAGCUAAUACCGCAUACCAUCGGAUGUGCCCAGAUGGGAUUGGCUAGUAGGUGGGGUAACGGCUCACCUAGGCGACGAUCCCUAGCUGGUCUGAGAGGAUGACAAGCCACACGGGAACGGAGACAGGGUCAAGACUCCUAGGUGAGGCAGCGGGGGGGAAUAUUGCACAAUGGGGGAAAGCCUGAUGCAGCCAUGCCGGGUGUAUGAAGAAGGCCUUCGGGUUGUAAAGUACUUUCAGCGAGGAGGCGUUACUCGCAGAAGAAGCACCGGCUAACUCCGUGCCAGCAGCCGCGGUAAUA
rnacentral:rRNA from 1 species